CCCCUCCCUGUGUCCUUAAAUAGGGCUAAUCCCUAAAGUCUAUUGGUGGAUCCAGUGGGUGUAUAAAUCCUCCUUGUUCCUGAUUGGAGGAGUGAUCUUCCUGUGGCAGCUGUUUUUCAUUUAUCCAUAUUCCAUCAUUUGUAAUUCGCGCCUUUUUCGGCAAAUACCGGAAGUGGUCAUAAUUUGCCGAAACCGGAAGUGACAUCGCAGGAAUGUCCGCGUCCCACAUGCGUUCCACCGGUAACGUCUCCAUGGCAACCAGACGCGAUCGAGUCAUUCAGAGAUC